GUCUCUCAGAGAUGAAGACUGAAUACAGUGGAGAGAGAACUUCUGGAUUCAAGGACAUUGAAAAUAAUAGCUACUGUCCACUUUCAGGUGAAGUUGAGCAUGGAUGAUAUGAUGUUUGUGAGCCUGAUCAUGUUGUUCCCCUAUUAUAUGCUAUGCCACUGCAGCGAUCAAGCUUGUCUAAAACCAGCCCUGCCUUCAUACCACUCAAGGAGAAGACAAAUAUAGUUGGUUAUUGGAAGAACCAACAGGAUUUUACAGGAUAAGUAGACAUUUCAUAGAGCUCUUGAAACCUGAAAAUGAUUGACAUUGCUGUGUGAAAGGAAAUAUCUUGGGCUCCCAAAAUCACUAAGUUAAAGGGAAAAUUCAAGCUGGAAACUGCUUAGGGUAAACCUGCCUCCCAUUCUAUUAAAAGUCAUCCCUCUGCUCACUGAGAUAAAUGCAUGUCUGAUUGCCUCCUUUGAAAGGCUAAUCAGAAACUCAGAAGAAUGCAACCAUUUGUCUCUCACCAACCUGUGACCUGGACCCUCCCCGCUUUGAGUUGUCCCACUUUUGUUUUGAGUUGUCCCGCCUUUCCAGACUGAACCAAUGUUAUAUAUGUUGAUUGAUGUCUCAUGUCUCCCUAAAAUGUAUAAAACCAAGCUGUGCUCUGACUACUUUGAGCACAUGUUGUCAGGACCUCCUGAGGCUGUGUCACAGGCAUGCAUCCUCAACUUUGGCAAAAUAAACUAAAUUAACUGAGACCUGUCUCAAAUUUUGGGCGUUCACAUUUGGUAACCACGGAGGGAUUCUGAGUGGAGAUGCCCCUGACUUCUGACAAAUCUCCUAUCGGUUCUUGGUACCAGCAUGAGCUAACUUUAUGGCUCAAACCAAUAGGACAAUUUGCUGAGGUCAGGGAGCAACCCUUCCAGAGAAUCCCUGAUCUCCAAAAAUUUGGUCAAGAUCUAAAGUUUAUUUUGCUGUAUACUCCUUUUUUUUUUUUUUCUUGCUUCCAACAAGGAAGGCAAGAUUUCCUGUUUCCAAGACAAUGGAAAGCAGGUAACUCCUUUAUGGAGUUUGAGCUCGCUCCCAGCUGGGAAGACGCGUUCGAGUAUUUUUCCUGCUUCUAGGAUGGUAGAAAGCAGUCUUCAGCCUGAGAUCCAUCUCUGGUUCUGGAGGCUUGGAAGUCCAAGAUCAAGAGGUGAACAGAUUUGGUGUCUGGUGGGGACCUGCUUCCUGAUUCAUAGAUGGCACCAUCCAGCUGUGCCCUCACAUGGUGGAAGGAAUGAGGCUGCUCUCUGGAAUCUCUUUUAUAAGGCUUGUAAGUGAAAGGGACUAGCCUUGUUUCAGAUGAGACGUUGCACUUGGACUCUUGAGUUAAUGCUGGAAUGAAUUGAGACUUUGGGAGACUGUUGGGAAGGCAAGAUUGUGUUUUGAAAUGUGAGGACAUGAGAUUUGGGAAAGGACAGGGGCAGAAUGAUAUGGUUUGGCUGUGUCUCCACCAAAAUCUCAACUUGGAUUGUAAUCUUCAUAAUCCCUAUGUGUCAUGGGAGGGACCUGGUGGGAGGUAAUUGAAUCAUGGAGCUGGUUUCACCCAUGCUGUUCUCAUGAUAGUGAGUGAGUUCUCACGAGAUCUGAUAGUUUUAUAAGCAUCUGGCAUUUUCCCUGCUGACACACACUCUCUCUCAUGCUGCCUUGUGAAGAGCUGCCUUCCACCAUGAUUGUAAGUUUCCUGAGACCUCCCCAGCCAUGUGGAACUUUGAGUCAAUUAAACCUCUUUUCUUUAUAAUUUACCCAGUCUCAGGUAUUUCCUUAUGUAGCAGGACAAGCCACAGACAAAACUCCUCAGACACCGAGUUAAAGAAGGAAGGGGUUUAUUCAGCCAGGGGCAUCAGCAAGACUCUUAGCUCAAGAGCUGAGCCCCCAAGUGAGCAAUUCCUGUCCUUUUUAAGGGCUCACAACUCUAAGGGGGUGCGCACGAGAGGGUCGUGAUCGAUUGAGCAAGCAGGGGGUACGUGACUGGGGGCUGCAGGCACUGGUAAUUAGAUCAGAACUAAACAGGAUAGGGAUUUUCACAGUGCUUUUCUAUACAAUGUCUGUAAUCUAUAGAUAACAUAACUGAUUAGAUCAGGGGUCGAUCUUCAACUACCAGGCCUAGGGUGUGGCGCCGGGCUGUCUGCUUGUGGAUUUCAUUUCUGCCUUUUAGUUUUUACUUUUUCUUUCUUUGGAGGCAGAAAUUGGGCAUAAGGCAAUAUGAGGGGUAGUCUCCUUUAUUCACAGCAAUGUGAGAAGGGACUAAUACAGUGUCCAUCAACAGAUGAAUGGAUAAGCAAAUUUGGUACAUAUGUGCAAUGGCUUACUAUUCCACCAUAAAAAAGAAUGAAAUUCUUUCAUUUGCAACAAUGUGGGUGGAACUGGAGGUCAUUAUAUUAAGUGAAAUUAGCCAGGCAAAGAAAUAGGCAAAGAAAGACAAACUUUGCAUGUUCUCACUUAUUUGUGGGAGCUAGAAUUUAAAACAAUUGAAGUCAUGGAGAAAGAGCAGAGGGAUGGUUA